rnacentral:rRNA from 1 species
AAUUAUUAAUUAGGAAGUAUUAAACAACAUUAAACCAUUAAAACUUGGCGGUUAUAAUAUUUUAAAGAAACUCGUUUUUUAAUCGACACCACCCGAUAAUUUUUACUUAAAAUUUUGUUAUUCAGUCUAUAUACCGCCGUUUCAGAACUUUUUUAAAAAAAAAUUCAAAACCAAAAAUUUACAAAAAUCAGGUCAAGGUGUAAUUUUAUAUUUAAGAAUAAAUAAGUUACAAAUAAUUUUGGAGUUAAGGACUAGAUUUUAAAGCUUUAAAGAAAAAGAAUUUAAAAUUAAUUUUGAUUUAAAAAAUCAAUAAGAAAUAAAUUAUUGUAAUGC